AUUAUAUAAUUAUUUACAUAUUACAAUUAUAUGGAGCUCCGAGCUAGUCAAAUAAUUUUUAUCUUACUUACCUACAUGUCUUCUUUAGUAGAUUGGUAUUUAACAAUUAUGUUGUAAGGUUGUCUAUAAUUAACAUUUUUUUUAGGCUUUUUGAAAACUAGAGGGAAAUAACUGCUUAUUUUGUGUUGGUAUUUUAUGGUUAGCAGCACACGGACUUAUUAUGAUAAAACCAAAGAACCUAUUUUUCAACCAAUUAUUGUAUGAAAAAAAUUUUUAUUGAUUCAGAAAGAAAUAUAUUAGUCCUGAGGGAAAUCAUCCAGUACUACUAAAAACCACUGUGAGGCGGAGAGGAAAGUUUAUUGGUGGAAUAUCCCAUUUUUAACCCUGUGAUGUCGUUAAUUAAAUAUUAAAAAAUUACUUAGUUUUUAGAAGUUGGAGAUUUUACCAUUUGUCGUUAGUAUUAUCAAUAUAUAGGUGUAAUCAUAAAUGCAGGAAGGUCGAAUUUAACAAAAAAAAUUAUAUAUGUAUCUAUUGUUACUUCGUCCAUUACACGAUGCGCACCAGUGGAACACAGCGUGGGCCAUCAUCAAGUGUUUAAAUACAUAUUAUUUGGUAUAUUAUAGAAAUCACGGAUGUGGCCAAAAAAUAAAUAAAAUAUUGACCCACAACAUAAUUUGGGCGUGUAUAACUUGAAAAACGAACAACGCAUUCACCAACGCAGAAUAAAUUUUUGGCGAAAUGUAAAUAAUGAUAGCUGCGGUGAUUUUUCACAUCGAAUAACCCACGAUAAAGUAUUUGUAUAAUUUAUUGAUUUAGGCAAGAUUGAUUUUACGAAUGAUGUUUUUUAAAAUUUUAAUUUAAUAGAUUUUUUUCUAUCGUUAAAAUUCCAUAUUUCAUUCACUAUAUACUUUCAAAUUAACAAUUGUUCUCAUUGGCGCUACUAGUGGGGUGCACAGGGGACUUGUUAUAAUUUAUAUUUAGAGUGUUAUCCCUAUUUAGAAUAAAUAAUUUUGUUUCUUUGAUAUUUUUAAUCUAUACUAUAAUAUUAAAAUUACUUAGAUAUGUACUAUACUAUACAUUGCAGUUAGUGGUGGACGCAGGGGGGAUUUUGAGGGUUCAAUCCCCUCCAAAAUGAAUGGAUGAUUAAUUUCAAACGUAUAGUUAUUCUCACUUAUGAACCUUUAAAAAAUUCUAAUUUUUUCAAAACCCCACCCGAAUUUUAUUCGUGCGUACGCCCCUGUAUACAGUGUUUCAUUUAAGUGUCAACACUAAAUAUUGUUUCAAAAACUUCUAAUUCUUUUGAAAAUAUUUUUUUUACAUUGUUUGAUUUAGUUUUAAAACAAUUUUUAUUUUAAACUUCAUUUUUAUAAUAUUUUAUCUAUAAGUUUUAUCUACUAUUUUUUUGAAUGACAAUAAUGACAAUAUACAUUUUUAAUUUCAUAUUCGGAAAUAGAAUAUUGUUCGAAGUACCUACCUAUUUCAAUGUAUAUGAACUGGAUUUUGAAUUAAUAGUUAAUUAGUUAUAAAUUUAGUUUAGAUGAGCGGAGUAAUAUUACAUAUAAGUAUUCCGCAAAAUUAUAGUACACUACUUAGUACUCUGUUCAUCUAAACUUUAAUACUUAUAACUAAAUAACUACUUAUUCGAAAUUAUUACUCCAAAAAAUAUUCUGUUUAAGUUUA